rnacentral:ncRNA from 1 species
AAUAUAUAAAGCGCCAUGUACCUGGCCGGGUUCGUGAACAGUAAAUAAUUUACUGCCGGUAUCAGGUUAACGAGGAGGAGGGAGUAUCGAAAAUUCGGCGGAUGCCCUCUCGUGCAGCCGGACGCGAUAUGUGCAGAAAAAUAUGCAGGUAACUGCAAAACAGAA